rnacentral:rRNA from 1 species
ACCAAGCGUAUUAAGCUUAGGCUUUUCGUCUCUAUUGAAAGUGCUUUACAACCCUCGGGCCUCCUUCACACACGCGGCAUUGCUGGAUCAGGGUUGCCCCCAUUGUCCAAUAUUCCCUACUGCUGCCUCCCGUAGAAAGCCGAAUUCCAGCACACUGGCGGCCGUUACUAGUGGAUCCGAGCUCGGUACCAAGCUUGGCGUAAUCAUGGUCAUAGCUGUUUCCUGUG